rnacentral:rRNA from 1 species
UGGGGAAUAUUGCACAAUGGGCGCAAGCCUGAUGCAGCCAUGCCGCGUGUAUGAAGAAGGCCUUCGGGUUGUAAAGUACUUUCAGCGAGGAGGAAGGCAUUGUGGUUAAUAACCGCAGUGAUUGACGUUACUCGCAGAAGAAGCACCGGCUAACUCCGUGCCAGCAGCCGCGGUAAUACGGAGGGUGCAAGCGUUACUCGGAAUUACUGGGCGUAAAGCGCACGCAGGCGGUCUGUCAAGUCGGAUGUGAAAUCCCCGGGCUCAACCUGGGAACUGCAUCCGAAACUGGCAGGCUAGAGUCUUGUAGAGGGGGGUAGAAUUCCAGGUGUAGCGGUGAAAUGCGUAGAGAUCUGGAGGAAUACCGGUGGCGAAGGCGGCCCCCUGGACAAAGACUGACGCUCAGGUGCGAAAGCGUGGGGAGCAAACA